CAGUCGCCACGGGAAUACGAAGGGGGCUAGCGUUGCUCGGAAUCACUGGGCGUAAAGGGUGCGUAGGCGGGUUUUUAAGUCAGAGGUGAAAUCCUGGAGCUCAACUCCAGAACUGCCUUUGAUACUGAAAGUCUUGAGUAUGGGAGAGGUGAGUGGAACUGCGAGUGUAGAGGUGAAAUUCGUAGAUAUUCGCAAGAACACCAGUGGCGAAGGCGGCUCACUGGCCCAUAACUGACGCUGAGGCACGAAAGCGUGGGGAGCAAACAGGAUUAGAUACCCGCGUAGUCCCUGUCUCUUAUAA
rnacentral:rRNA from 1 species